GGUUCUGUGGUGUAAUGGUUAGCACUCUGGACUUUGAAUUCAGCAAUCUAAGUUCAACUCUUGGUGGAACCU